ensembl:antisense Gm19461 predicted gene, 19461
CCUAAAUUCAAACAGGAUGAGCAACCAACUCUGCUUGCUGUGAUUUCACAAGGCUCCUGGUUCACAGAGGAAAUCCCUACCUGACCCGUCGAUCAGCCCGAAACUUCAACAUCUUUUUUGGAAGCUCAGUCCCCAGUUCGGCAGCCUCCGAGGAGCCACCAGCCACCCUGCUGCUACCAUCCCUCUGAGAAGUAAGUCCUUGGAUCCAGUUCUCAAUGCUGUGGCAGAGACGCAGGGAUGAAGAGCCUCAUAGUUCAGUGGAAGAUUCUGGUUUCACAAGGCUCCAAGAACACAGCAACAACAAACACUUUCAUUGUUAACAUCUGCCAGCUGCAGGUCUGGAGACAAUGCAGGAUGUGGGGUGGGGGGUUCCCAGUGGGGGUGAUGAGUGCCUGUGUGUAGGGUAAGUUAGGAUAGUCACCUACUAACUGCCCACAGCCUAAGU